GUGCCAGCAGCCGCGGUAAUUCCAGCUCCAAUAGCGUAUAUUAAAGUUGUUGCAGUUAAAAAGCUCGUAGUUGGAUCUGAGGAGUAGAGUAGACGGUGCGCCUUUCAGGUUCUACUGUUUGCUCAUCCUACCUAGCCGGUGACCGUCUCGGUGCUCUUAACUGAGCGCCUUGAUAGCCCGACAUGUUUACUUUGAACAAAUUAGAGUGCUCAACGCAGGCUUCAGGCUUGUAUAUUAGUGCAUGGAAUAAUGGAAUAGGACUUUAGUUCUAUUUUGUUGGUUUACGGAACCUAAGUAAUGAUUAAAAGGGACAGGCGGGGGCAUUCGUAUUGUGCCGGGAGAGGUGAAAUUCGAAGAUCGGCGCAAGACGACCUACUGCGAAAGCAUUUGCCAAGUAUGUUUUCGUUAAUCAAGAACGAAAGUCAGAGGUUCGAAGACGAUUAGAUACCGUCCUAGUUCUGACCAUAAACGAUACCACCUGAUCAUCCGAGGUUGAUUGCUUGUUCGAUCCUUCGGGCGAUCUCCGGGAAACCAAAGUUUUUUGGUUCCGGGGGAAGUAUGGUUGCAAAUCCGAAACUUAAAGGAAUUGACGGAAGGGCACCACCAGGAGUGGAGCCUGCGGCUUAAUUUGACUCAACACGGGAAAGCUCACCCGGUCCGGACACUGUUAGGAUUGACAGAUUGAUAGCUCUUUCUUGAUUCAGUGGGUGGUGGUGCAUGGCCGUUCUUAGUUGGUGGAGCGAUUUGUCUGGUUAAUUCCGAUAACGAACGAGACUCUAGCCUGCUAAAUAGUACACUCAUCACAAGUGUGGGUGCUUGCUUCUUAGAGGGACAGGCGGCGCAUAGUCGCACGAGAUUGAGCAAUAACAGGUCUGUGAUGCCCUUAGAUGUCCGGGGCCGCACGCGCGCUACAAUGACAAGGUCAACUAGUGUUUCCUGGCCCGAAAGGGUUGGGUAACCUAAUAAAUUCUUGUCAUGACAGGGAUUGGGUUUUGAAAUUGUCGCCCAUGAACGAGGAAUUCCCAGUAAGUGCAAGUCAUAAACUUGCGCUGAUUACGUCCCUGCCCUUUGCACACACCGCCCGUC
rnacentral:rRNA from 1 species